AACGAACGCUGGCGGCGUGCCUAACACAUGCAAGUCGAACGAGAAAAUGGGCUUCGGCCUAUGAGUAAAGUGGCAGACGGGUGAGUAACACGUGGGUAACCUGCCCGGAGGUGGGGAUAACCCUCCGAAGGAGGGCUAAUACCGCAUGAUAUCUCGGUGUCUUCGGACUCUGCGAUCAAACCAGCCUCUCCCUGGAAGCUGGUGCCACCGGAGGGGCCCGCGCCCCAUUAGCUAGUU
rnacentral:rRNA from 1 species